UUCAAGCCUUCAAGCCACAUACUUUAGUAUUUACCUACGAUACAUGCCUUACUUGUUAUUAUUACUGCUGAAACAAAGAGGAUACAUUAAUCCAAUUACUAUUUUAACGAAAAUUUCAACGCAAUCGUACAAUUAAUAUUACAAAUCCGAUUCCAAUUAAAAACUUAUUGCUGACUGAUUUCAAGCGGCCUGUUUACAUUUCAACAGCCGUAAUUUGUUGAAAAACAAAAAUUCAAAGCGAAAUUCCAAGUUCCACUUUUAAAUUCUAUUAUCUGCCUUCUACCUUCAUUACAGGUACGUUCGAAAAGUUAAAAAGUGACACGGAAUGAAUCAUGGCGUGCGAUCCCUAAGAAAUAUUACACCCAAGCUGGCACCAUAAAGCAAACGGCGUGGCAGAGGCGAUACAACGAUAGCGACACUGCGAGAACCGACAGACACCACAGAACUCGCCUUUCUGGCCGCUACAGGGUGUUCUGCCUCACGCUUAACACCACUAUCUUAACAUGGAGAUACUUCUAUUAAAGACGACGAUGUGGGCAGAACAAUGAACUAACAACCAAAAUAAUGGAUGAAAUGACUAUUGCGCUACACAGAAAAAUGGAUCCAGAGCGCAAGCAUUCAAAGUUGAAAAUAGAGCAACAAGCCUCGGGGCGGGCAAAGAACUAAUGUUGGAUGGCAUGAUGAAAUGUGACAGUUCAUUAUGCGGAAGAUAACGGACGCUACAGCAUACAGGGAACAGUGAAUUGCAGUGAAGAGGGGAGUGGUCGCGAUGUCGACCCGCGUUUUGAGUUAAAAUACGGCGUUGUACGAAUUAAACGCGUCAUGUGGAAAUGGAAAAGUUUUAUACACAAGGUAGAGUGA